AAAAGAUUUAAGUUAUUAGACUAAAAGCCUUCAAAGCUUAAAGCAGGAGUUAAAGCCUCCUAAUCUUUGAU
rnacentral:tRNA from 1 species